rnacentral:rRNA from 1 species
GACGAACGCUGGCGGCGUGCUUAACACAUGCAAGUCGAACGGAAAGGCCCUGCUUUUGUGGGGUGCUCGAGUGGCGAACGCGUGAGUAACACGUGAGUAACAUCCCCUUGACUUUGUGAUAACUUCACGGAACUGCGGCUAUUACAGGAUAGGAGAUACUGCUGCAUGGUGUGGGUUGGAAAGUUUCGGCGGUACGGGAUGGUCUCGCGGCUUAUCAGCUUGUUUGUGGGGUAGUGGCUUACCAAGGGUUAGACGGGUAGCCGGCCUGAGAGGGUGACCGGCCACAUUGCGCCUGAGAUAGGGCCCAGACGGGUACGGGAGGCAGCAGUGGGGAAUAUUGCGCAACGGGCGGAAGUGUGAUGCAGCAACGCCGCGAGCGUGAUGACGGCUUUCGGGUUGUAAACCGCUGUGGCCUGUACCGAGGCGUUCGUGACGGUAAUGGGUAAAGAAGCACCGGCUAACUACGUG